UACAGAGGGUGCAAGCGUUAAUCGGAAUUACUGGGCGUAAAGCGCUCGUAGGUGGAUAUCUAAGUCGGAUGUGAAAUCCCCGGGCUUAACCUGGGAACUGCAUUCGAGACUGGAUGUCUAGAGUAUAGUAGAGGAAAGUAGAAUUCCCGGUGUAGCGGUGAAAUGCGUAGAUAUCGGGAAGAAUACCAGUGGCGAAGGCGGCUUUCUGGACUAAUACUGACACUGAGGAGCGAAAGCGUGGGGAGCAAACAGG
rnacentral:rRNA from 1 species